AUUGAACGCUGGCGGCAGGCCUAACACAUGCAAGUCGAGCGGAUGAAGGGAGCUUGCUCCUGGAUUCAGCGGCGGACGGGUGAGUAAUGCCUAGGAAUCUGCCUGGUAGUGGGGGAUAACGUCCGGAAACGGGCGCUAAUACCGCAUACGUCCUGAGGGAGAAAGUGGGGGAUCUUCGGACCUCACGCUAUCAGAUGAGCCUAGGUCGGAUUAGCUAGUUGGUGGGGUAAAGGCCUACCAAGGCGACGAUCCGUAACUGGUCUGAGAGGAUGAUCAGUCACACUGGAACUGAGACACGGUCAAGACUCCUACGGGAGGCAGCAGUGGGGAAUAUUGGACAAUGGGCGAAAGCCUGAUACAGCCAUGCCGCGUGUGUGAAGAAGGUCUUCGGAUUGUAAAGCACUUUAAGUUGGGAGGAAGGGCAGUAAGUUAAUACCUUGCUGUUUUGACGUUACCAACAGAAUAAGCACCGGCUAACUUCGUG
rnacentral:rRNA from 1 species